GUGUCAGCAGCCGCGGUAAUACGGAGGAUGCGAGCGUUAUCCGGAUUUAUUGGGUUUAAAGGGUCCGUAGGCGGAUUAAUAAGUCAGCGGUGAAAACCUGCAGCUUAACUGUAGAACUGCCGUUGAUACUGUUAGUCUUGAAUAGUAUUGAAGUAGCUGGAAUGUGUAGUGUAGCGGUGAAAUGCAUAGAUAUUACACAGAACCCCGAUUGCGAAGGCAGGUUACUAAAUACCGAUUGACGCUGAUGGACGAAAGCGUGGGGAGCGAACAGGAUUAGAUACCCUGGUAGUCCACGCCGUAAACGAUGGAUACUCGUUGUUGGGGGUAUAACCCUCAGUGACUAAGCGAAAGUAAUAAGUAUCCCACCUGGGGAGUACGACCGCAAGGUUGAAACUCAAAUAAAUUGACGG
rnacentral:rRNA from 1 species